rnacentral:rRNA from 1 species
UACGUAGGGGGCAAGCGUUGUCCGGAAUUAUUGGGCGUAAAGCGCGUGUAGGCGGCCAGAUAAGUCCGCUGUGAAAUCUCGAGGCUCAACUUCGAGCUGUCGGUGGAAACUGUCUGGCUAGAGUCCGGAAGAGGGAGAAUGGAAUUCCUGGUGUAGCGGUGAAAUGACGCAGAUAUCAGGAAGAACACCCGUGGCGAAGGCGGUUCUCUGGGACGGUACUGACGCUGGAGACGCGAAAGCGUGGGGAGCGAACAGG